rnacentral:lncRNA from 1 species
GAUGCCUGACAUGCGGAUCCUGUAAGGAAAAAGGCGGAGGCAUGCCUGCACCCUGAGCAUCUCUACAGCCAGGAGAGGAGCCCAGUGGGCGGAGACAGACGGGGACCAGAGACAUAAGAGAGGACAGCCAGGCAGGCAUCAUGGACGGGAGCAGAGAGCAAAGCCACGGCAGAGGCGAGCUAUGAGAUCCAUGGACUGCAUGAAAGUUCUGGGGGCAGGACUGUCCUCUGUGUCCUUGGAGGCAGAUUUUUCUUUCAGAAUCAUCUGCUGGGAGCCCCUUCUGAUUGACAGCCACCCACUCUGGCAGCAGCAGACCGGAAGAAGAGUCUACAGAUUGACCAUCCAGUGCUGAAGCCCUUCAGCGCCCCUUGGUGAGUCUCCUGGGAGCGCCACAGGCCCCUGGACUCCUGG